rnacentral:rRNA from 1 species
AGCCUGAUGCAGCCAUGCCGCGUGUAUGAAGAAGGCCUUCGGGUUGUAAAGUACUUUCAGUCGUGAGGAAGGCGGCGUCGUUAAUAGCGGCGUUGUUUGACGUUAGCGACAGAAGAAGCACCGGCUAACUCCGUGCCAGCAGCCGCGGUAAUACGGAGGGUGCGAGCGUUAAUCGGAAUUACUGGGCGUAAAGCGCAUGCAGGUGGUUUGUUAAGUCAGAUGUGAAAGCCCGGGGCUCAACCUCGGAAUAGCAUUUGAAACUGGCAGACUAGAGUACUGUAGAGGGGGGUAGAAUUUCAGGUGUAGCGGUGAAAUGCGUAGAGAUCUGAAGGAAUACCGGUGGCGAAGGCGGCCCCCUGGACAGAUACUGACACUCAGAUGCGAAAGCGUGGGGAGCAAACAGGAUUAGAUACCCUGGUAGUCCACGCCGUAAACGAUGUCUACUUGGAGGUUGUGGCCUUGAGCCGUGGCUUUCGGAGCUAACGCGUUAAGUAGACCGCCUGG